rnacentral:ncRNA from 1 species
GGGAAGCCGGUGGAAAUCCGGCGCGGUCGCGCCACUGUGAUCGCCGGGCGCCAGCCUGUCGAGAGUCAGACC